rnacentral:tRNA from 2 species
GCGGGCGUAGCUCAGCAGGAUAGAGCGUCGGCCUCCGGAGCCGAAGGUCGUGGGUUCGAAUCCCGCCGCCCGCACCA